CGGCGGAUCAGCCCGCUCCCGGUAAAACGGGACGGCCCGCCAGAGGACCCCUAAACUCUGUUUCUAUAUGUAACUUCUGAGUAAAACCAUAAAUAAAUCAAAACUUUCAACAACGGAUCUCUUGGUUCUGGCAUCGAUGAAGAACGCAGCAAAAUGCGAUAAGUAAUGUGAAUUGCAGAAUUCAGUGAAUCAUCGAAUCUUUGAACGCACAUUGCGCCCGCCAGUAUUCUGGCGGGCAUGCCUGUUCGAGCGUCAUUUCAACCCUCAAGCCCUCGGGUUUGGUGUUGGGGAUCGGCGAGCCCUUGCGGCAAGCCGGCCCCGAAAUCUAGUGGCGGUCUCGCUGCAGCUUCCAUUGCGUAGUAGUAAAACCCUCGCAACUGGUACGCGGCGCGGCCAAGCCGUUAAACCCCCAACUUCUGAAUGUUGACCUCGGAUCAAGUAGGAAUACCCGCUGAACUUAAGCAUAUC
rnacentral:rRNA from 1 species